GGGAAACUUUCGACGGGGCCCGCCUCAGGCCCCGAAACAAAUUUAUGGGGCC
rfam:Heterocephalus glaber contig43490, whole genome shotgun sequence.